CUGCAGCACUUAGUCGACAAACGUCAAAUUCCGACAUUAUUUACUUUUGAGGUUAUUUGUUUUGUGAUGAAAAAAACGAUAGUGGAUAUAAAUAUGUGUGAUUUAGAAUACUUGGAUGUGUUAGAAUACUAUUGAGAGUGUCCGGGAACCCAACAGAGUGCGUCAUCGACAAAAUCUCUUCAAAUUACCUGACGACAAUUUUCGAUGUAAAUAUCGGUUUACAUUUUUCGAAAUAAUAGUCAAUUGAAUGCAUGAUGAUAAUCCAUGAUGAUCCAGGAUGAUGAUAUGAUGCUCAACUGGGCUCGCCAUAAAAUUCAAGACUAUUUUGGCGUUUUACACGCCGUAUCUCUGCCAGUAAUAUGCAAUGUUUGUAAAAGACUGGAAGCUUGCUAAAAUGUACAAAAACGCCUAGAUGAGAAAGGGAACAAGAUUGUGUGAUGAAGAAUAGUGUCCAACAUGUAUCAGUGCGUUUAACUGUAUAAAUAGACAUCGGAAUAAAAUAUAAUUUUCUACUUU